rnacentral:rRNA from 1 species
GUGGAUUAGAUACCCGGGUAGUCCACGCCCUAAACGAUGGGCACUAGGUGUGGGAGGUAUCGACCCCUUCCGUGCCGCAGCUAACGCAUUAAGUGCCCCGCCUGGGGAGUACGGCCGCAAGGUUGAAACUCAAAGGAAUUGACGGGGGCCCGCACAAGCGGUGGUGCAUGUGGUUUAAUUCGACGCAACGCGAAGAACCUUACCUGGGCUUGACAUCCCUGGAACCUCCUGGAAACAGGGGGGUGCCCGCAAGGGAGCCAGGAGACAGGUGCUGCACGGCCGUCGCCAACU